rnacentral:rRNA from 1 species
ACGGGAGGCAGCAGUGAGGAAUAUUGGUCAAUGGACGGAAGUCUGAACCAGCCAUGCCGCGUGAAGGAAGACGGCCCUACGGGUUGUAAACUUCUUUUGUGGUGGAGCAAUAAGGUCCACGCGUGGAUCGAUGAGAGUACAUCACGAAUAAGCAUCGGCUAACUCCGUGCCAGCAGCCGCGGUAAUACGGAGGAUGCAAGCGUUAUCCGGAUUUAUUGGGUUUAAAGGGUGCGUAGGCUGUGCGGCAAGUCAGAGGUGAAAGCCCGGGGCUCAACUCCGGAACUGCCUUUGAUACUGUCGCGCUGGAAUACAGAUGCCGUGGGAGGAAUGAGUAGUGUAGCGGUGAAAUGCAUAGAUAUUACUCAGAACACCGAUUGCGAAGGCAUCUCACGAAUCUGUCAUUGACGCUGAGGCACGAAAGCGUGGGGAUCAAACAGGAUUAGAUACCCUGGUA